rnacentral:rRNA from 1 species
CAGCAGCCGCGGGAAUACGAAGGGUGCAAGCGUUACUCGGAAUUACUGGGCGUAAAGCGUGCGUAGGUGGUGGUUUAAGUCCGUUGUGAAAGCCCUGGGCUCAACCUGGGAAUUGCAGUGGAUACUGGGUCACUAGAGUGUGGUAGAGGAUAGUGGAAUUUCCGGUGUAGCAGUGAAAUGCGUAGAGAUCGGAAGGAACAUCUGUGGCGAAGGCGACUAUCUGGGCCAACACUGACGCUCAUGCACGAAAGCGUGGGGAGCAAACAGGAUUAGAUACCCGUGUAGUCCCUGUCUCUUAUAC